CCCCGGGGCAUUGCCUCAGUACGGCGAGUGAAGCGGCAAAAGCUCAAAUUUGAAAUCUAGCACCUUCGGUGUUCGAGUUGUAAUUUGAAGAUGGUAACCUUGGGUUUGGCUCUUGUCUAUGUUCCUUGGAACAGGACGUCAUAGAGGGUGAGAAUCCCGUCUGAUGAGAUGCCCAUUCCUAUGUAAGGUGCUAUCGAAGAGUCGAGUUGUUUGGGAAUGCAGCUCUAAGUGGGUGGUAAAUUCCAUCUAAAGCUAAAUAUUGGCGAGAGACCGAUAGCGAACAAGUACAGUGAUGGAAAGAUGAAAAGAACUUUGAAAAGAGAGUGAAAAAGUACGUGAAAUUGUUGAAAGGGAAGGGCAUUAGAUCAGACUUGGUGUUUUACGAUUAUCUUCUCUUCUUGAGUUGUGCACUCGUAUUUCACUGGGCCAGCAUCGAUUCGGAUGGCAAGAUAAUGGCAGUUGAAUGUGGCUUCACUUCGGUGGAGUGUUAUAGCUUCUGCUGAUAUUGCCUGUCUGGAUCGAGGGCUGCGUCUUUUGACUAGGAUGCUGGCGUAAUGAUCUAAUGCCGCCCGUCUUGAAACACGGACCA
rnacentral:rRNA from 1 species